UACGUAGGGUGCGAGCGUUAAUCGGAAUUACUGGGCGUAAAGCGUGCGCAGGCGGUUUUGUAAGACAGGCGUGAAAUCCCCGGGCUCAACCUGGGAAUGGCGCUUGUGACUGCAAGGCUGGAGUGUGGCAGAGGGGGAUGGAAUUCCGCGUGUAGCAGUGAAAUGCGUAGAUAUGCGGAGGAACACCGAUGGCGAAGGCAAACCCCUGGGCCGGCACUGACGCUCAUGCACGAAAGCGUGGGGAGCAAACAGG
rnacentral:rRNA from 1 species